AACGAACGCUGGCGGCAUGCCCAACACAUGCGAGUCGAACGAGACCUUCGGGUCUAGUGGCGCACGGGUGCGUAACGCGUGGGAACCUGCCCUUAGGUUCGGAAUAACUCCCCGAAAGGGGUGCUAAUACCGGAUAAUGUCUUCGGACCAAAGAUUUAUCGCCUUUGGAUGGGCCCGCGUUGGAUUAGCUAGUUGGUAGGGUAAAAGCCUACCAAGGCGACGAUCCAUAGCUGGUCUGAGAGGAUGAUCAGCCACACUGGGACUGAGACACGGCCCAGACUCCUACGGGAGGCAGCAGUGGGGAAUAUUGGACAAUGGGCGAAAGCCUGAUCCAGCAAUGCCGCGUGAGUGAUGGAGGCCUUAGGGUUGUAAAGCUCUUUUACCCGGGAUGAUAAUGACAGUACCGGGAGAAUAAGCUCCGGCUAACUCCGUG
rnacentral:rRNA from 1 species